ACGGCCAUAUGAUGUUGAAACAGUGGUGCCCUUACGAUCACCGAAGUUAAGCAACGUCAUACCUGGUCGUACCUUGAUAGGUGACCACUUGGGAAUGUCAAGUGCUGUAAG